AGUGGGGAAUAUUGGACAAUGGGCGCAAGCCUGAUCCAGCCAUACCGCGUGGGUGAAGAAGGCCUUCGGGUUGUAAAGCCCUUUUGUUGGGAAAGAAAUCCAGCUGGUUAAUACCCGGUUGGGAUGACGGUACCCAAAGAAUAAGCACCGGCUAACUUCGUGCCAGCAGCCGCGGUAAUACGAAGGGUGCAAGCGUUACUCGGAAUUACUGGGCGUAAAGCGUGCGUAGGUGGUCGUUUAAGUCCGUUGUGAAAGCCCUGGGCUCAACCUGGGAACUGCAGUGGAUACUGGGCGACUAGAGUGUGGUAGAGGGUAGCGGAAUUCCUGGUGUAGCAGUGAAAUGCGUAGAGAUCAGGAGGAACAUCCAUGGCGAAGGCAGCUACCUGGACCAACACUGACACUGAGGCACGAAAGCGUGGGGAGCAAA
rnacentral:rRNA from 1 species